AUUGAACGCUGGCGGCAGGCCUAACACAUGCAAGUCGAGCGGAUGAGAAGAGCUUGCUCUUCGAUUCAGCGGCGGACGGGUGAGUAAUGCCUAGGAAUCUGCCUAGUAGUGGGGGACAACGUUUCGAAAGGAACGCUAAUACCGCAUACGUCCUACGGGAGAAAGUGGGGGGUCUUCGGACCUCACGCUAUUAGAUGAGCCUAGGUCGGAUUAGCUAGUUGGUAGGGUAAAGGCCUACCAAGGCGACGAUCCGUAACUGGUCUGAGAGGAUGAUCAGUCACACUGGAACUGAGACACGGUCCAGACUCCUACGGGAGGCAGCAGUGGGGAAUAUUGGACAAUGGGCGAAAGCCUGAUCCAGCCAUGCCGCGUGUGUGAAGAAGGCCUUCGGGUCGUAAAGCACUUUAAGUUGGGAGGAAGGGCUCAUAGCGAAUACCUGUGAGUUUUGACGUUACCAACAGAAUAAGCACCGGCUAACUUCGUGCCAGCAGCCGCGGUAA
rnacentral:rRNA from 1 species